AUUUGAUGCUAUGGGCAUCUAGUGCACAACUUAUUGAACCUUUCCCAAUAAUCAUAUAGAAAUUCUCCGGGAUACUGCUUAAUGCUGCAUAUCUCUUUUCUCAGACU